rnacentral:rRNA from 1 species
AGCUGAUAAAUACCGGCGCAAAGAGUGGUUAAAAGACAAUAAAACUAAAGCCAAACACCUUCAAAGCCGUUAUACGCAACCGAAGACAGGAGACACCUCUACGAAAGUGACUUUAAAACCAUGAACCCACGAAAGCUGGGACACAAACUGGGAUUAGAUACCCCACUAUGCCUAGCCUUAAACACAAGUGGCACCUCUGCAACCGCCACUCGCCCGGGGACUACAAGCACUAGCUCAAAACCCAAAGGACUUGGCGGUGCUUUAGACCCACCUAGAGGAGCCUGUUCUAUAACCGACAAUCCCCGUUCAACCUCACCCUUUCUCGCCACCCCCGCCUAUAUACCGCCGUCGUCAGCUCACCCUGUAAAGGCCUGGUAGUAAGCAAAACUGGUACAGCCCAAUACGUCAGGUCGAGGUGUAGCACACGAAAGGGAAAGAAAUGGGCUACACUCCCUGACACAGGAAAUACAAACGAUAGCUUGAAACAAUUAUCUAAAGGUGGAUUUAGCAGUAAGAAGGAAAGUAGAGAUUUCCUCUGAAACCGGCCCUGAAGCGCGCACACACCGCCCGUCGCUCUCCCCAAACAAUACAAACCUUAAACUAUAAAGACAUCACCACAAAGGGGGGACAAGUCGUAACAUGGUAAGUGUACCGGAAGGUGCCCUUGGAAAAA